GGGGGUGACUUGGUAUCGAUUAGAGCAGUGAGGAUCAGUUGCAUGUCGGCCUGAGCAUGCCGUUACGCGGCUCAUUUUUUUUAGACGCAAACAAUACAAAUUACGCUCCAGCUUACGCAAAAGCUGCGUAAGUUUAACAACUUAUAGGACUCGCCUAACGGCUUGAGACCUCGGAGGUUCACUCAGUAGAUUCUAUCUAUGCUGAUUAUAGUGGAUUCACCCAGAUAGAUUAUCUUAAAAGGAUUGAUUGACCUUUUUUGAGACAUUUUAAAUCUUAGCUUUUUAGUUGCCUUGCGAGUUGUGCUGCUAGAAAGUGAAAUUUUACAACUCCUCUAAACAUGUAGACGCUGGUAGUAAUUGUUUUAAGACUCCGGUUCAAUCCCGGACACCUCCACCA
rnacentral:tmRNA from 1 species